GCUGCCAUAGCUCAGAUGGUAGAGCGCGUCCUUGGUAAGGACGAGGUCCCCAGUUCAAUCCUGGGUGGCAGCU
rnacentral:tRNA from 1 species